rnacentral:rRNA from 1 species
UACGUAGGGUGCGAGCGUUGUCCGGAAUUACUGGGCGUAAAGAGCUCGUAGGCGGUCUGUCGCGUCUGCUGUGAAAACUCGGGGCUUAACCCCGGGCCUGCAGUGGGUACGGGCAGACUAGAGUGCGGUAGGGGGAGACUGGAAUUCCUGGUGUAGCGGUGAAAUGCGCAGAUAUCAGGAGGAACACCUAUGGCGAAGGCAGCUCGCUGGGACGGUACUGACGCUGAGACGCGAAAGCGUGGGAGCAAACAGG